rnacentral:rRNA from 1 species
AUACGGAGGGUGCAAGCGUUAAUCGGAAUUACUGGGCGUAAAGCGUACGUAGGCGGCAAGUUAAGUUAGAUGUGAAAGCCCCGGGCUCAACCUGGGAACUGCAUUUAAAACUGGCUUGCUAGAGUUGAGUAGAGGGGAGUGGAAUUUCAGGUGUAGCGGUGAAAUGCGUAGAGAUCUGAAGGAACACCAGUGGCGAAGGCGACUCCCUGCACUCGAACUGACGCUGAGGUACGAAAGCGUGGGUAGCAAACGGGAUUAGAAACCCUAGUAGUCC